UCCAUCGUGAGGUGGAAUCUGAAGGAAGCUUAAGGCAAAAUCUCGGUCUGAUGAACAAGAACCAGAUAAGAGGCUGAAUUGGGAUGGAUGAGUUUGCGUAACAAAACGAAGUCCAACACUACCCGAAUCCCAUAUUGUCAUUUCUCAAAUUAAUUUAGCCCAAAACCGAUAAAAUU
rfam:Thermoanaerobacter pseudethanolicus ATCC 33223, complete genome.